GUCAAAUGUCUUAAAGGAUAUAUUUGAUUCAAUUUUUGACGAGUGUUUUCAAUGAAAACACUUCCUGAAAAUAUAAUACAAAACACUAUCACAAUAUAAUUAAGAUUACAACCCUGCCUUAAUAUAAGAAUAUAUUUUUUAAGCCGCAUCGCAUUGGUUUCUGGCACAUGUCGAAAGUUCUGGAUGUUUUCUUGCAUGUUUCUUCGUAAUUUUAUUAGUGUUUAUGGAAUUAAUUCAACGCCAUUUUAAGUGUAAGUUACUUUACUGAUGUUAGUGCUUGCACAGUUUAUUUUUGUACUCAUAUUUUGUUUCUACUCGAAAUUCUAGAUUAUGGGCAUCUAUUACUGCUUAACAAGUUCGAUAUUCAUCAUUUUCCUUCACGUGUGAAAACUUCCAAGCCUCCUUUCUUUUUGGUGAUGACUGACGAUAACUAUUCCACCAACAAAGCUCAUUUGUUAAUUUUUCAAUAAUUGCUUUUUUCUAUCUACUAAAUGUAUUUCAUGGAGAUGAAAAAUAUUUGGUUUAUUUUCCGUCCUUGGAUUCUAAGGGCUGUCACUAGAUGGCUAAAUAUUUCAGUGUGUUUAGGGAUUGAACUAUUCAGCUCUAGUGUGUUGGUUAGGAUGUAGGGGGGUGGGUCAUCAAACUGUCAAAGUUUUGAGAAGACAGACGAAUAAGUAGUUCUCUUGUUCCGAUACGCUGGCCGAGAAGGGUUACUCCAGUAAUUGCUGGGUACUUUAUUCUGGAAUUGUUCGUCAAAAAAAGGAUUCAUUUGUCAGUUUGAUGUUGAAGCUGUUAAUUGUGUUAUCGGGUGUGCAGUGGUUAAGCUGUCAUUUCCUAGUUAAGAGAUGCCCUGAAAUGGAAUUAAGGAGACUUGCAGUUCAGCAUUAUACUUCUAUGAUCUGCCUAUGUUGGUGUUCUUCAGUUCUUGCUAUGUUGAACUGUUGUGCAAAAUAGUCGAUGUUGCCUAGUGGUUGUCAAUUGUAUUUUAUCGGCUGCAUUAUGUCGAUGUGCCGUCUCUUACUACCUGUAUCCUCGUUAAGGUACGAACGUCCGCAAUUUAUCCACACAUUUACAGUAUGUACUUUUAUGUAUGAACAUUUUCCUAAAAUGCCGUCUCUUGCUUCGUGUUGGACGUUUCGUCAAGUGCAGAAGUACUUCAUAAAACACAGCAUUUCCAUUGAUGCCGAAGUUAAUUUCAUGCUGGUUAUAGUAUCACAUUUACACAGAUGAUGUUGCCAUCCCAUGUGACGAGUCAAACUAUUGCUGAGUGAAAGAUAAACGUUCAUCAGGUGAAUUUGUUUACCAUGUAGUAUAUCUAUUGAUGCUUAAAAUGAAUAUCAUGUUGUCUAUUAUUUAUUAUGUGAGCUGUGUUGCUGCUAUCCAGAUGGUUUUGUUGCAGUCAGCUGGUGAGAGGGUAGUUCGAGCUGACCUGCAGCUGCUGCAAGUAGUAAGUGGUGUUACUUGAAAUGUAACAGCAAUUGAAGAUGUUUGGAAUAUAUUUAAUAAAAAUUUAAGUUGUAUCUGGUAAAA